GGCUAGGUAGCUCAGUUGGUUAGAGCAUUGUCCUGAUAAGCCAAGGUUGCAGGUCAAGCCCCGGUCA
rnacentral:tRNA from 1 species